AUUGAACGCUGGCGGCAUGCCUUACACAUGCAAGUCGAACGGUAACGCGGGGGCAACCCUGGCGACGAGUGGCGAACGGGUGAGUAAUACAUCGGAGCGUACCCAGUAGUGGGGGAUAGCUCGGCGAAAGCCGGAUUAAUACCGCAUACGACCUAUGGGUGAAAGCGGGGGAUCGCAAGACCUCGAGCUAUUGGAGCGGCCGAUGUCGGAUUAGCUAGUUGGUGAGGAAAGGCUCACCAAGGCUACGAUCCGUAGCUGGUCUGAGAGGACGACCAGCCACACUGGGACUGAGACACGGCCCAGACUCCUACGGGAGGCAGCAGUGGGGAAUUUUGGACAAUGGGCGCAAGCCUGAUCCAGCCAUGCCGCGUGUGUGAAGAAGGCCUCGGUCGUAAG
rnacentral:rRNA from 1 species